GACAGAGGAUGCAAGCGUUAUCCGGAAUGAUUGGGCGUAAAGCGUCUGUAGGUGGCUUUUAAGUCCGCCGUCAAAUCCCAGGGCUCAACCCUGGACAGGCGGUGGAAACUACCAAGCUGGAGUACGGUAGGGCAGAGGGAAUUUCCGGUGGAGCGGUGAAAUGCGUAGAGAUCGGAAAGAACACCAACGGCGAAAGCACUCUGCUGGGCCGACACUGACACUGAGAGACGAAAGCUAGGGAGCGAAUGGGAUUAGAACCUACCGAGUCAGUCCAAGACC
rnacentral:rRNA from 1 species